rnacentral:snoRNA from 1 species
AUCCCAUGAUGAGGAAGGCGGCCAAAUAUUCCUGAAGUUGUUCCCAUGCCUCAGGAAUGGACUCGUCACUCGUCUACUGGAAACUUGAGAACCUUCCACGAAGGGC